UUUAAUUAAGAGUUUGAUCCUGGCUCAGGACGAACGCUGGCGGCACGCUUAACACAUGCAAGUCGAACGAGAGAAGAGAAGCUUGCUUUUCUGAUCUAGUGGCGGACGGGUGAGUAACACGUGAGCAAUCUGCCUUUCAGAGGGGGAUACCGAUUGGAAACGAUCGUUAAUACCGCAUAAUAUAAUUGAACCGCAUGAUUUGAUUAUCAAAGAUUUAUCGCUGAAAGAUGAGCUCGCGUCUGAUUAGCUAGUUGGUAAGGUAACGGCUUACCAAGGCGACGAUCAGUAGCCGGACUGAGAGGUUGAUCGGCCACAUUGGGACUGAGACACGGCCCAGACUCCUACGGGAGGCAGCAGUGGGGAAUAUUGCACAAUGGAGGAAACUCUGAUGCAGCGAUGCCGCGUGAGGGAAGAAGGUUUUAGGAUUGUAAACCUCUGUCUUCAGGGACGAAAAAAGACGGUACCUGAGGAGGAAGCUCCGGCUAACUACGUGCCAGCAGCCGCGGUAAUACGUAGGGAGCGAGCGUUGUCCGGAAUUACUGGGUGUAAAGGGAGCGUAGGCGGGAUCGCAAGUCAGAUGUGAAAACUAUGGGCUUAACCCAUAAACUGCAUUUGAAACUGUGGUUCUUGAGUGAAGUAGAGGUAAGCGGAAUUCCUAGUGUAGCGGUGAAAUGCGUAGAUAUUAGGAGGAACAUCAGUGGCGAAGGCGGCUUACUGGGCUUUAACUGACGCUGAGGCUCGAAAGCGUGGGGAGCAAACAGGAUUAGAUACCCUGGUAGUCCACGCCGUAAACGAUGAUUACUAGGUGUGGGGGGACUGACCCCUUCCGUGCCGCAGCAAACGCAAUAAGUAAUCCACCUGGGGAGUACGACCGCAAGGUUGAAACUCAAAGGAAUUGACGGGGGCCCGCACAAGCAGUGGAGUAUGUGGAUUAAUUCGAAGCAACGCGAAGAACCUUACCAGGUCUUGACAUCGUAUGCAUAGCUCAGAGAUGAGUGAAAUCUCUUCGGAGACAUAUAGACAGGUGGUGCAUGGUUGUCGUCAGCUCGUGUCGUGAGAUGUUGGGUUAAGUCCCGCAACGAGCGCAACCCUUACUGUUAGUUGCUACGCAAGAGCACUCUAGCAGGACUGCCGUUGACAAAACGGAGGAAGGUGGGGAUGACGUCAAAUCAUCAUGCCCCUUAUGACCUGGGCCUCACACGUACUACAAUGGCUGUAAACAGAGGGAUGCAAAGCCGCGAGGUGGAGCGAACCCCUAAAAGCAGUCUUAGUUCGGAUUGUAGGCUGCAACCCGCCUACAUGAAGUCGGAAUUGCUAGUAAUCGCAGAUCAGCAUGCUGCGGUGAAUACGUUCCCGGGCCUUGUACACACCGCCCGUCACGCCAUGGGAGUCGGUAACACCCGAAGCCUGUAGUCUAACCGCAAGGAGGACGCAGUCGAAGGUGGGAUUGAUGACUGGGGUGAAGUCGUAACAAGGUAGCCGUAUCGGAAGGUGCGGCUGGAUCACCUCCUUUCUA
rnacentral:rRNA from 4 species